rnacentral:rRNA from 1 species
GGGCUCACACAAGCGGUGGAGGAUGUGGCUUAAUUCGAGGCUACGCGAAGAACCUUAUCCUAGAUUUGACAUGCUUGAGAGUCUCUAUGAAAGUAGAGAGUGCCCUUCGGGGAGCUCUUGCACAGGUGCUGCAUGGCUGUCGUCAGCUCGUGUCGUGAGAUGUCGGGUUAAGUCCCUUAACGAGCGAAACCCUUAUCUCUAGUUGCCAGCGGGUAAUGCCGGGGACUCUAGAGAGACUGCCGGUGUCAAACCGGAGGAAGGUGGGGAUGACGUCAAGUCCUCAUGGCCUUUAUGUCUAGGGCUGCACACGUCCUACAAUGGUACGGACAAACGGACGCAAUACCGCGAGGUGGAGCA